GGGCUCAUAGCUCAGUUGGUUAGAGCACGCGCUUGAUAAGCGCGGGUCGAUGGUUCAAGUCCAUCUGGGCCCACCA
rnacentral:tRNA from 1 species